rnacentral:rRNA from 1 species
UACGUAGGGAGCAAGCGUUGUCCGGAAUCAUUGGGCGUAAAGCGCGCGUAGGUGGCUUCGUAAGUCCGCUGUGAAAGUCAAAGGCUCAACCUUUGAAAGCGGUCGGAUGAACUGUCGAGCUAGAUGCGGAAGAGGCGAGUGGAAUUCCUGGUGUAGCGGUGAAUGCGCAGAUAUCAGGAGGAACACCAAUGGCGAAGGCAGCUCGCUGGGACGGUACUGACGCUGAGACGCGAAAGCGUGGGGAG